AUACUUACCUUAGGCAAAUUUCUGGCGAUCAAGUCGGCCAGGAUUUCGGACUAGAGGUUGGCAUUGCACAGCGCCGACGUUCUGGACUGUCGUCUACGGACGGGGCCUAUAAUUUUUGAUUUCUUCCCUUCCGAAAAUUUAUUUGGAAGG